rnacentral:rRNA from 1 species
UCCAGACUCCUACGGGAGGCAGCAGUGGGGAAUAUUGCACAAUGGGGGAAACCCUGAUGCAGCGACGCCGCGUGAGUGAAGAAGCGCCUCGGCGCGUAAAGCUCUGUCAGCAGGAACGAUAAUGACGGUACCUGAAGAAGAAGCCCCGGCUAACUACGUGCCAGCAGCCGCGGUAAUACGUAGGGGGCAAGCGUUAUCCGGAUUUACUGGGUGUAAAGGGUGCGCAGGUGGCAGGGCAAGUCAGAUGUGAAAGCCCGGGGCUCAACCCCGGUAUUGCAUUUGAAACUGUCCGGCUAGAGUGCAGGAGAGGUAAGCGGAAUUCCUAGUGUAGCGGUGAAAUGCGUAGAUAUCAGGAGGAACAUCGGUGGCGAAAGCGCUUUACUGGACCAUUAUUGACGCUGAGGAACGAAAGCCAGGGGAGCAAAUGGGAUUAGAUACCCUAGUAU